rnacentral:rRNA from 1 species
AGUGAACGCUGGCGGUAGGCCUAACACAUGCAAGUCGAACGGCAGCACAGUAAGAGCUUGCUCUUACGGGUGGCGAGUGGCGGACGGGUGAGGAAUACAUCGGAAUCUACUUUUUCGUGGGGGAUAACGUAGGGAAACUUACGCUAAUACCGCAUACGACCUACGGGUGAAAGCAGGGGAUCUCGGACCUUGCGCGAUUGAAUGAGCCGAUGUCGGAUUAGCUAGUUGGCGGGGUAAAGACCCACCAAGGCGACGAUCCGUAGCUGGUCUGAGAGGAUGAUCAGCCACACUGGAACUGAGACACGGUCCAGACUCCUACGGGAGGCAGCAGUGGGGAAUAUUGGACAAUGGGCGCAAGCCUGAUCCAGCCAUACCGCGUGGGUGAAGAAGGCCUUCGGGUUGUAAAGCCCUUUUGUUGGGAAAGAAAAGCAGCAGGUUAAUACCCCGCUGUUCUGACGGUACCCAAAGAAUAAGCACCGGCUAACUUCGUG